rnacentral:rRNA from 1 species
UACGUAGGAUGCAAGCGUUGUCCGGAAUUAUUGGGCGUAAAGAGCGCGCAGGCGGUCGUACAAGUCGCGUGUGAAAGCCCCCGGCUCAACUGGGGAGGGUCACGCGAUACUGUUCGACUCGAAGGCAGGAGAGGGAAGCGGAAUUCCCGGUGUAGUGGUGAAAUGCGUAGAUAUCGGGAGGAACACCAGUGGCGAAGGCGGCUUCCUGGCCUGUUCUUGACGCUGAGGCGCGAAAGCUAGGGUAGCAAACGGG